GACGAACGCUGGCGGCGUGCUUAACACAUGCAAGUCGAACGGAAAGGCCCUGCUUGCAGGGUACUCGAGUGGCGAACGGGUGAGUAACACGUGGGUGAUCUGCCCUGCACUUCGGGAUAAGCCUGGGAAACUGGGUCUAAUACCGGAUAGGAGCCAUUUUUAGUGUGAUGGUUGGAAAGUUUUUUCGGUGUAGGAUGAGCUCGCGGCCUAUCAGCUUGUUGGUGGGGUAAUGGCCUACCAAGGCGGCGGCGGGUAGCCGGCCUGAGAGGGUGGACGGCCACAUUGGGACUGAGAUACGGCCCAGACUCCUACGGGGGGCAGCAGUGGGGAAUAUUGCACAAUGGGCGCAAGCCUGAUGCAGCGACGCCGCGUGGGGGAUGACGGCCUUCGGGUUGUAAACUCCUUUCGCUAGGGACGAAGCUUUUUGUGACGGUACCUAGAUAAGAAGCACCGGCUAACUACGUG
rnacentral:rRNA from 1 species